rnacentral:lncRNA from 1 species
CCGCAAUGAAUUGUUUCUCUUUGCAUGGGGUGCUGGUUUUUUGCCUUUUAUACGGGAUAUUAAUGAUGCAAAAUGGAUUUAGUUAGUACAUAAAAUAAAGAAAAUCAGUAUAUGAACCAGUGGUCAUUCCAAGGUGGUCACCAGACUCAUGUUCGUACAAGCUUGCCACUUUUGUUAUUAUUUCUGUAGAGCUAACCUUUACAUAGAUGAACAGCAAGAACUUGAUAAAGAAGUAAAUUAUAUUCUUAAGAUAGGCAAUAUGCUUGGGUACUCCAGGACUGUCUUAAAAAACUUAUUUGUGGAAGAGAAACAAUCACUAGAGAAUAAAAAGAUCCAGAGCGAAGAGGCUUUAGAAUAUGAAGUGGUACCAUAUGCAUUAAAGAGCUCCAAGGUACAGUCUAUUGCAAAAAGUUUUGUGCAUAGCGGUCAGGGGCAGGAAGCAGCGGAU